rnacentral:rRNA from 1 species
GCUUGAGUCUUGUAGAGGGGGGUAGAAUUCCAGGUGUAGCGGUGAAAUGCGUAGAGAUCUGGAGGAAUACCGGUGGCGAAGGCGGCCCCCUGGACAAAGACUGACGCUCAGGUGCGAAAGCGUGGGGAGCAAACAGGAUUAGAUACCCUGGUAGUCCACGCCGUAAACGAUGUCUACUUGGAGGUUGUGCCCUUGAGGCGUGGCUUCCGGAGCUAACGCGUUAAGUAGACCGCCUGGGGAGUACGGCCGCAAGGUUAAAACUCAAAUGAAUUGACGGGGGCCCGCACAAGCGGUGGAGCAUGUGGUUUAAUUCGAUGCAACGCGAAGAACCUUACCUGGUCUUGACAUCCACAGAACUUUCCAGAGAUGGAUUGGUGCCUUCGGGAACUGUGAGACAGGUGCUGCAUGGCUGUCGUCAGCUCGUGUUGUGAAAUGUUGGGUUAAGUCCCGCAACGAGCGCAACCCUUAUCCUUUGUUGCCAGCGAUUAGG